UACGUAGGGGGCAAGCGUUGUCCGGAUUUAUUGGGCGUAAAGAGCGUGUAGGCGGCCAGGUAGGUCCGCUGUGAAAACUCGAGGCUUAACCUCGAGAUGUCGGUGGAAACCAUCUGGCCAGAGUCCGGAAGAGGAGAGUGGAAUUCCUGGUGUAGCGGUGAAAUGCGCAGAUAUCAGGAAGAACACCCGUGGCGAAGGCGGCUCUCUGGGACGGUACUGACGCUGAGACGCGAAAGCGUGGGGAGCGAACAGG
rnacentral:rRNA from 1 species